UCCGGUUUGACACCGGCAGUCUCAUUAGAGUCCGUCCCGAUUGCUCGGGGUUCGCAACUAAUGAUAGGGGUUUCGCUCGUUAAGGGACUUAACCCGACACUUCACAGCACGAGCUGACGACAGCCAUGCAGCACCUGUGCACGUUCCACUACGAGAGUGUCAUCCGCCUUUCAGCGGACUAAUCCGUGCAUGUCAAGCCCAGGAUAAGGUUCUUCGCGUUGCUUCGAAUUAAGCCACAUGCUCCACCGCUUGUGUGAGCCCCCGUCAAUUCCUUUGAGUUUUAGCCUUGCGACCGUACUCCCCAGGCGGUGCACUCAACGUUUUUACUUCGACCGAGAACGGUGUCAGAACCUCCUCGAUCUAGUGCACAUCGUUUACGGCGUGGACUAC
rnacentral:misc_RNA from 1 species